rnacentral:sRNA from 1 species
AUGAAGACGAUCACAAAGGGAGCUUGUCUCCUCUUUCUGCAAUGCCUACUGUUGGGUGCUGUUCAAGCGUGUAUUUUCAACGAAGAUUCGAAUCAAGCCCAUCCUCAUGGUAAAAUGGCGUGUUGUGGUAAAUCAUCAGAUCCCACGUUUUAUUUCAAAAAGACACAGAUUUGUUGUAAUGGAACUGUUCACAAUCGGCAUGGAAAACAAUGCUGCGGCGGGGAGCUGUAUGAUCCAGAAAAAAGUAUAUGCUGUAAUGAUACCGUUCAUGAUAAAGAGAACAGAGUUUGCUGUGGCUCUAAGCUAUUCACGUCUGACACCCAUCCUGUUGUGUGUUGUGGCGGGAAAUUACAUAACAGCUAUCAAAGUUGUUGUGGCGGGCAAGAGUUGUACGACGAGUCGUCACAGAUCUGUUGUGAAUACAACGGCUCCUUCAGCAUCGACUAUAACAAAAACAGGGAUUGCUGUUAUGACAGGGCUUACAAUACAGAACACCAACAUUGUGCCAACGGUCAAGUCCUUGGUUUUGAUGAAAACCUUUGUGGUAAAAACAAAUACAACGUUUCGGCAAAGAUAUGCUGUGACGGGACACUGCACGACACGCCUCUAUUUCUACCGAAAUGUUGUGGAUCAAAUUUGUAUGAUUUCAGUCAUUCACAGUGUUGCCUCGGAACGAAAAAGGUCGUACCUCUUAAUCUGCAAUGUUGUGGAGAAGGAUCUUUUAACGAUUCUACUCAACUUUGCUGCAAUAAUGUUAUCCAGUCAAAGAAAUAUGGCUCGAGAUGCUGUGGGUCGGAAACAAUCGAUACCACAAAGGGUUGUUGUGAAACCAAAGCUUAUAAUCUUUCCACACACCAAUGCUGCAAAGACAGUACAAUAAUACCCGAACAUCACAGUUGUUGUGGUUACCAUGGAUACGACAACCGUACUCAGAUAUGUACAGACAAUUAUAAAGUAAUCAACAGAUCCUCUCGUAACAACGGGUCCUUAUCCGAAAGGCAGAGAGUAUCCCACAGUAUUUGUAAUACUUGCCAUUGGAGACACAGGCGCAGCUACAGGGAAAUCAAGUCAGGAAACCAAUAUGUCUGCAAGAGACACACUUACAAUAUAACCAUUAACAAGACAUCUCGCCGAGAUAUAGUUUGGAUCCUGGAUGCUAAAUACGAGAACAAAGACAAAAUGAAAUCAAAUGUGACGAUUAUCGUGCCCUGCAAAUCGGGAAAGCUGAACAAGACGGGAAGGUUUUUGUUAGUGACAGAUAGCACCAUUGACGAGGAAACACUGAGGCUUGGGGAUAGUGACCUUCUUUUGCAAUAUCAUCGUAAACUUGAUGUUCUCGUGAACAGGAAACAACGAACCUGUCGGCAGGUGUCUGUGGUUCUCGCCGAGAUUCAAAAGGCGGUAAAAAGAUUCAUCCGGAAGCUGAUAAGGCCAAAAUGACCAAUUACCCUGACGCCUUCAUAUUGUGGCGAGAAAUGAUCAUUUCGAUUGUUCAGUAUGUCUGGGUCGGAACAGUUUACUAUGAUUAUUAAUUAAAUCCAUUUGUCCCUUUUGGAAUGCGAUUGAGAAUUUUGGAAUUUGGAACGUGAUGGAGAAUUUGGAAUAAAAGUUUGUCAAUCAAUUAUCCUUCGCAAUUCCAAAACGUUUUCUUGUUUGUCUUUCAACAAUCGGUCAUGCUUGUAUUUUAAGGCAGCGAAUUGAAUUGUGAACGCGCAUUCUUUGUUCCUGUGACUUUGCUUAUUUAAUUUAUUUCUAGUAAUGGUUUUAUUUUGAUACUCUAUUU